rnacentral:rRNA from 1 species
GAUGAACGCUGGCGGCGUGCCUAAUACAUGCAAGUCGAGCGAACGGACGAGAAGCUUGCUUCUCUGAUGUUAGCGGCGGACGGGUGAGUAACACGUGGAUAACCUACCUAUAAGACUGGGAUAACUUCGGGAAACCGGAGCUAAUACCGGAUAAUAUUUUGAACCGCAUGGUUCAAAAGUGAAAGACGGUCUUGCUGUCCCUUAUAGAUGGAUCCGCGCUGCAUUAGCUAGUUGGUAAGGUAACGGCUUACCAAGGCAACGAUGCAUAGCCGACCUGAGAGGGUGAUCGGCCACACUGGAACUGAGACACGGUCCAGACUCCUACGGGAGGCAGCAGUAGGGAAUCUUCCGCAAUGGGCGAAAGCCUGACGGAGCAACGCCGCGUGAGUGAUGAAGGUCUUCGGAUCGUAAAACUCUGUUAGUAGGGAAGAACAUAUGUGUAAGUAACUGUGCACAUCUUGACGGUACCUAAUCAGAAAGCCACGGCUAACUACGUG